UACGGAGGGAGCUAGCGUUGUUCGGAAUUACUGGGCGUAAAGCGCGCGUAGGCGGCUAUUCAAGUCAGAGGUGAAAGCCCGGGGCUCAACCCCGGAACUGCCUUUGAAACUAGAUAGCUAGAAUCUUGGAGAGGCGAGUGGAAUUCCGAGUGUAGAGGUGAAAUUCGUAGAUAUUCGGAAGAACACCAGUGGCGAAGGCGACUCGCUGGACAAGUAUUGACGCUGAGGUGCGAAAGCGUGGGA
rnacentral:rRNA from 1 species